rnacentral:rRNA from 1 species
UACGAGGGAUCCUAGCGUUGUUCGGAAUCAUUGGGCGUAAAGGGUGUGUAGGCGGCCAAGUAAGUCAGUUGUGAAAGCCCCGGGCUCAACCCGGGAAGUGCUUCUGAUACUGCUUGGCUUGAGUAUUGGAGAGGUGAGUGGAAUUCCAGGUGUAGUGGUGAAAUACGUAGAUAUCUGGAGGAACACCGGCGGCGAAGGCGGCUCACUGGCCAUAUACUGACGCUGAAACACGAAAGCGUGGGUAGCAAACAGG